CAAGUUCCCCUCUGCGGGUCUG
rnacentral:miRNA from 1 species